rnacentral:rRNA from 1 species
AGCGAACGCUGGCGGCAGGCUUAACACAUGCAAGUCGAGCGGGCAUCUUCGGAUGUCAGCGGCAGACGGGUGAGUAACACGUGGGAACGUACCCUUCGGUUCGGAACAACUCUGGGAAACUGGAGCUAAUACCGGAUACGCCCUUAUGGGGAAAGGUUUACUGCCGAAGGAUCGGCCCGCGUCUGAUUAGCUAGUUGGUGGGGUAACGGCCUACCAAGGCGACGAUCAGUAGCUGGUCUGAGAGGAUGAUCAGCCACACUGGGACUGAGACACGGCCCAGACUCCUACGGGAGGCAGCAGUGGGGAAUAUUGGACAAUGGGCGCAAGCCUGAUCCAGCCAUGCCGCGGGAGUGAUGAAGGCCUUAGGGUUGUAAAGCUCUUUUGUCCGGGACGAUAAUGACGGUACCGGAAGAAUAAGCCCCGGCUAACUUCGUG